rnacentral:rRNA from 1 species
GGCGGUAUGCUUAACACAUGCAAGUCGAACGGCAGCACGAGAGAGCUUGCUCUCUUGGUGGCGAGUGGCGGACGGGUGAGUAACGCGUAGGAAUCUGCCUAGUAGUGGGGGACAACUCGGGGAAACUCGAGCUAAUACCGCAUACGCCCUACGGGGGAAAGCGGGGGAUCUUCGGACCUCGCGCUAUUAGAUGAGCCUGCGUUGGAUUAGCUUGUUGGUGAGGUAAUGGCUCACCAAGGCGACGAUCCAUAGCUGGUCUGAGAGGACGAUCAGCCACACUGGGACUGAGACACGGCCCAGACUCCUACGGGAGGCAGCAGUGGGGAAUAUUGGACAAUGGGCGAAAGCCUGAUCCAGCAAUACCGCGUGUGUGAAGAAGGCCUGCGGGUUGUAAAGCACUUUCAAUUGGGAAGAAAAGCUUAGGGUUAAUAACUCUGAGUCUUGACGUUACCUUUAGAAGAAGCACCGGCUAACUCCGUGCCAGCAGCCGCGGUAAUACGGAGGGUGCAAGCGUUAAUCGGAAUUACUGGGCGUAAAGCGCGCGUAGGUGGUUUUGUAAGUCAGAUGUGAAAGCCCUGGGCUCAACCUGGGAAUUGCAUUUGAUACUGCAUGACUAGAGUAUAGUAGAGGGAAGCGGAAUUCCGGGUGUAGCGGUGAAAUGCGUAGAUAUCCGGAGGAACAUCAGUGGCGAAGGCGGCUUCCUGGACUAAUACUGACACUGAGGUGCGAAAGCGUGGGUAGCAAACAGGAUUAGAUACCCUGGUAGUCCACGCCGUAAACGAUGUCAACUAGCCGUUGGACUCAUUAUAAGGGUUUAGUGGCGAAGCUAACGCGAUAAGUUGACCGCCUGGGGAGUACGGCCGCAAGGUUA